rnacentral:rRNA from 1 species
AUUGAACGCUGGCGGCAUGCUUUACACAUGCAAGUCGAGCGGCAGCGCGGGGGCAACCCUGGCGGCGAGCGGCGAACGGGUGAGUAAUGCAUCGGAACGUAUCCUCGAGUGGGGGAUAACCCAGCGAAAGUUGGGCUAAUACCGCAUGAGCUCUGAGGAGGAAAGCGGGGGACCUGCGAGGGCCUCGCGCUGGAGGAGCGGCCGAUGUCCGAUUAGCUAGUUGGUGGCGUAAAGGCUUACCAAGGCGACGAUCGGUAGCUGGUCUGAGAGGAUGAUCAGCUACACUGGCACGGAGACACAGCCCAGACUCCUAGGGGAGGCAGCAGUGGGGAAUUUUGGGGGAUGGGGGAGAGCCUGAUCCAGCCAUGCCGCGUGAGUGAAGAAGGCCUUCGGGUUGUAAAGCUCUUUCGGACGUAACGAAGUGGGCGGGACUAAUACUCCUGUCUGAUGACGGUACCGGAAGAAGAAGCACCGGCUAACUACGUG